AGUCCCAGUUACUCGGGACUACUCGGGAGGCUGAGGCAGGAGAAUGGCGUGAACCCGGGAGGCGGAGUUUGCAGUGAGCCGAGAUCGCGCCACUGCACUCCAGUCUGGGCGACAGAGCGAGACUCCGACUCAAAAAAAAAAAAAAAAAAAAUAGCUGGCUGCUUUUGUGGAGUCUUCCUGCUGAGUUGCUGGUGGUGGGGUGAAAAUUUGAGUGCUUACUAUGUGCCAGGAGCCUGCUGAGGGCCUCACCUAUAUUGUGUGAUUUCAUCCCGUCAGCACCCUUUGAUGUGGGGACUGUUGUUCCCUAUCCUGGUGUUACAAAUGUGGGCACCGGGUAUAGGAGGUCAGGUACCUCGCCAGAGGUUACAGUUUGUAAGUGGUGGUACUGGGACUGGAACUCGUUCUGGCAAACUUCAAAGCUGGUGUUUUUAGCCAUCAAGGGGAUUCGAGGGUGCCAUGGGGGUGUGGACGCAUGAGGGGCCUUAAGGUCCAUUAGACCAAAACAUUAUGUGUCUGGGAAAAAGGAUGCCCUCUCCUCCCAAGGAAAAGCUUCUUCUGAAUGAGACACAGUGGAGAGGUUAGCCCGGGGCCCGGCUGAGGGGCGCAGGCAGGAUGCCAACGGAUGGAAACCCUCAGAAGGGCAAAGCCGGUGUUCCGUCGUUUGAAGACCUGCAGACCCGCGGGACAGGCAGACGCAGCGCGGUCAGGGAGCGUCGGCUUCGCCGAGCUCUGCGGCGGAGCUGGGGGACGGAACAGCGCGCCGGUCCCUGGGCGGGCGCGAGCAGGAGGGCGGUGUGGGGCGGUGCUCGGCGGCGGGGGCGGGGAGGGCGCGCACCUAGGCGGCUGCCGCAGUUGCGCGCUGGGAUUGUUGCCGUGAGCUGGCGCCGGAGCUGACUAAGGCUUUGGAACAGAAACCAGAUGAUGCACAAUAUUAUCGUCAAAGAGCUUAUUGUCACAUUCUUCUUGGGAAUUACUGUGGUAAUUUUUCUUAUAAGAUGGAGUUUUGCUCUUAUUGCCUAGGCUGGAGUGCAGUGGCACAAUCUCAUCUCACUGCAGCCUCUGCCUCCUAGGUUCAAGUGAUUCUCCUACUUCAGCCGCCCAGGUAGCUGGGACUACAGGUGUAUGCCACCAUGCCUGGCUAAUUUUGUAUUUUUAGCAGAGAGGGGGUUUCACCAUGUUGGCCAGGCUGGUCUCAAACCCCUGACCACAGGUGAUCCGCCCACCUCAGCCUCUCAGAGUGCUGGAAUCACAGGCGGGAGCCACUGCACCUGGCCAAAUUACAUAAAUGAUGCUAAUGAGAAAAGGAGAUGAAUUUUGUCACACAGCUUUAUUCACUGACCGAAGAGCUUUAAGAAGGAAGCUAAAUGUUAAGCCAAAAGGAAGGUACAAGAGUAAUAUUUAUUUGAAUUCUGUGUUGGAUUAGCUUUUCCUAAUUUAAAACCAUUGGGCGUUUCUGUCAACUCAAAAACUUAGAAAUCUAAAACUGAUCCGUAUUCUGUGUGUAUUUGCUAGAAUCUGUAAAUAACUGACAAAAAAACAUCUUUCUCUUUUUUUUCUUUUUUU